rnacentral:rRNA from 1 species
AACGAACGCUGGCGGCAGGCUUAACACAUGCAAGUCGAACGCAUCUUCCGGGGCGAGUGGCAGACGGGUGAGUAACGCGUGGGAACGUGCCCUUCAGUUCGGGAUAACCCAGGGAAACUUGGGCUAAUACCGGAUCCGUUCGACAGCAGCAAGACUUAUCGGUGAAGGAACGGCCCGCGUCCGAUUAGCUAGUUGGGGGGGUAAUGGCUCACCAAGGCGACGAUCAGUAGCUGGUCAGAGCGGAUGAUCAGCCACAUUGGGACUGAGACGCGGCCCAAACUCCUACGGGAGGCAGCAGUGGAGAAUAUUGGACAAGGGGCGCAAGCCUGAUCCAGCCAUGCCGCGUGGGUGAUGAAGGCCUUAGGGUUGUGAGCUCUUUCGGCCGGGAUGAUAAUGACGGUACCGGAAGAAGAAGCCCCGGCUAACUUCGUGCCAGCCGCCGCGGUAA